rnacentral:sRNA from 1 species
AACAACAACAACAACAACAACAACUACUGCUACAAAAACAAGUUCAACGAUAAGAAAAGCAUAAUCCAUGCCACAAAUACAACAACUAACAACAAGCUGAAAACAACGAUCGGAUUUUACAUCCAUUGCAUCGGUUACAUCGAUUCCAGAUGUUAAAGUCGAAGUUUUUGCAGUUUUGCCAAUAUGUUCAGAAAUUGGUGAAAUAUUUAAAUAACGGACAACGAAUCAAUUAGGAUCUUCCGAGGAAAAUAUCUGCAUCUAGUCUACCGUAUUGUGACAACAAUAUCUAUAAUAUUAAGAGUUGAUUGUAACGCAGCCGCUCUUGAUGAAUAUUGGACAGGAAAAGCAUUCGCAUCCGCAUUCGCAGUCGUCGCACACGCAUCCGCACACGCAUCC